ensembl:lncRNA
GAGGCGUCUUUUCAGGCUCCCAAUCUAAUGGCUGCCGAGGGUCCUUACGGAGUCUUAGUCAAGAAGGGAGGAUUCCUGAGACAGUUCGGAAGGAUCACGUGACCCUUGUGUGACCAGGAAGUAUAACAACCACGGCCUCAAAGGGUCCCCGGGGUCAGAUGGGAGUGAGAACGUGAGCGCCUGUGGUGCCUUAGCGCAUGUGAAUGUGCAUGCGUGAGCGAGCGUGUCAUGCGUCUCGCCUGUGCGUGAACACGAUGCGUGCGUGGGCACGUCUGCGGCGAACGUGCGUGCCCGUGCGUGUCAUGCGUGCGUGGGCACGUCUGUGGCAGACGUGCGUGUCGUGCGUGUCAUGUGUGCGUGGGUGCGCCCGGUCCCCUGGGGGCGGGGAGUUCUCCCUCGGGGCUGCUGUCCCUGAGGGGGUGUAGUUGACGGCUUCCACUCCUGCUCCGGCUGGGGAAGCCUCACCUGGCGGGUAGUGGGGUCUCAGGACCCGUCUCGGGUCAGCAAUGGCCGUGUUAAGCUCUCGGAGUCGGUUUCCUUGGUGGCUGACGAGAGCGGCGGACACUGUGGUGAAAGGACAGAACGGGCAGCUCGGAGGAGAGGCGACCCUCGUCCCUCCAUCCCCACGGGCACGUACAGGCCCCCCAGGGGAUUGCUGGCUGGGGGUGCCGUUGACUUCUGACAGGACGAGGUCGCCGGGCAGCGUGACAGCCGAACAUCUGAGGGGAACCAGGGGAGGCUGGGGUCCGACGGGCCGCGCUUCUCCCAUCCUUCCGCGCCCAGGGGCGGGUCUGAACCGCCACACGCUCCAAGGGAAGCCCCCACAGAAGCCCUGCCAAAGGCAGCGCCCCCCCCCCGCCCCGCCCCAAGACCUGUGGGCCAGGAACCCCGGCGGCAGGUGCGCCCUCGCCGCCGGGGGCCGAUCUAGAGGCUGGAGAGACCGGUCAGCUCUGCGGAGAAGCAUCUUCCGGCUGCUUGCACAGGGUUCAGUUGACGAAGCAGGAGCGGAAGGGAAGCCCGGCGGGGACCGGGCGAGCUCUCCUCUAGCCGGGGCUUCUUCCUGCUCGUGCGCCCCGCCAGGCAAGAGCAGGGUUAAGUGUGUGCGAGGGGAGGGGGGCGGGGGGGGGGCGGAGAGGGAAUCCCAGACCGCCGGAACUGGAGACUUCCCAGCCGAGGGCGAAGCGGCCGCGAGAGGCAGCGCCGGCCACCCCGUGGCUUCCGCUGGCACCUGGGCGCGCGGAGUCGGGAGGACACGUCGACAGCCGCCCGCAGGACACGCGGCAGACGCGCCACAGCCACCGCCAGGGCUGACAACAAGCUCUGAGCCGGGAACCUGGGACCUGUGCCGUGACAGGUAGGACUCCGUGUCACCUGCCCUUCUGCUGGUCUGCGACAGCCCAGGAGGGAGGGUGGCCACCUGCCCCCGUCACCAGAACUGAAAGACAGCAGUGGGAAGAGAGCGCCCACUUGUUCACCGCCCCUCCCCCAGCUGAGCUUUGCGGGAGCCCGACCCUGUCCCAUCACUGGAUGUGUGAUGUAUGACACAAGGAAGAGCUUCUGAGCAGCUGGCAGCACCUCUGCUCUGCGCCUGCGCCUGUCAUCUGUGUGGCCGUGGGCUAGAUAUCACAGCACAGCCAGGGGAGGGCAGUCUGGACAAGUGACCGGCAGCCAGCUUCCUCUGCCUGGUCUCACUGUUAAAGCCGCCGCACCAGAUGUGACUCUGGAGGAAUAUCCUAACAAACACAUUUCCAGUCUUCUGAGAGCCUGGUCUCCUAGUUGCUGGGUAUGAAUAGCCCUCAGCCCACUCCCACCAACUCUCCUCAGACACUGUCCGCCCACCCUCAGGCCACACCCCUGCUGCCAUCCUUGGCUGCUCCAGGUACAGGAUGGGGGCCAGCGGCUCUGGCCUUGGGGACAGUGAGUCUGAUAUGUUCAUUGAGGUGACUGGGCCGGUCAAGAAGACUGUCCUUAGACAGGGGCCUGGGCAGUUCUGUCCUGCAAGAGAAGGGCAGGUCCCUACUGUGUCUGUAGACACCAAGCCAGCCACCAGCCCGCUCAGCCCUAGCUCACACAUCUGGACCGGGGCAGCUGUUCUUUUCUGUAAAGGGCCACAUGGUAAAUAUGUUACUGUCGCUUAGUCUUGCUCUGCAGCUUCUUCUUCUUCUUUACAUAUGUAUAAUCCUUUAAAGAUGCAGGGUUGAAGACUAGUCUCAGGUCACUUGUCAGACAUGGCUGUGGGCCAAAGUUUGCAACCCUUGGAUUGGGCUGUGGGGUGAAAACA